UAGAGUUUGAUCAUGGCUCAGAUUGAACGCUGGCGGCAGGCUUAACACAUGCAAGUCGAGCGGUAACAGGAAUAGCUUGCUAUUUGCUGACGAGCGGCGGACGGGUGAGUAAUGCUUGGGAAUAUGCCUUAUGGUGGGGGACAACAGUUGGAAACGACUGCUAAUACCGCAUAAUGUCUACGGACCAAAGGGGGGAUCUUCGGACCUCUCGCCAUUUGAUUAGCCCAAGUGAGAUUAGCUAGUUGGUAAGGUAAUGGCUUACCAAGGCGACGAUCUCUAGCUGGUUUGAGAGGAUGAUCAGCCACACUGGGACUGAGACACGGCCCAGACUCCUACGGGAGGCAGCAGUGGGGAAUAUUGCACAAUGGGGGAAACCCUGAUGCAGCCAUGCCGCGUGUGUGAAGAAGGCCUUCGGGUUGUAAAGCACUUUCAGUUGUGAGGAAAGGUGUGUAGUUAAAAGCUGCAUACUGUGACGUUAACAACAGAAGAAGCACCGGCUAACAUCGUGCCAGCAGCCGCGGUAAUACGAGGGGUGCAAGCGUUAAUCGGAAUUACUGGGCGUAAAGCGCUCGUAGGCGGUUGAAUAAGCAAGAUGUGAAAGCCCAGGGCUCAACCUUGGAACUGCAUUUUGAACUGUUCGACUAGAGUACUGUAGAGGGGGGUAGAAUUUCA
rnacentral:rRNA from 1 species